rnacentral:miRNA from 1 species
GUCUUAGGUUGGUGCAAAAGUAAUUGCAGUUUUUCCCAUUUAAAAAAAAAAAAAAAAUAGCAAAAAUCGCAACUACUUUUGCACCAACCAAAUA